GACGAACGCUGGCGGCGUGCUUAACACAUGCGAGUCGAACGAAGAGCGACGGAAGCUUGCUUCUAUCAAUCUUAGUGGCGAACGGGUGAGUAACGCGUAAUCAACCUGCCCUUCAGAGGGGGACAACAGUUGGAAACGACUGCUAAUACCGCAUACGAUCUAAUCUCGGCAUCGAGGAUGGAUGAAAGGUGGCCUCUACAUGUAAGCUAUCACUGAAGGAGGGGAUUGCGUCUGAUUAGCUAGUUGGAGGGGUAACGGCCCACCAAGGCGAUGAUCAGUAGCCGGUCUGAGAGGAUGAACGGCCACAUUGGGACUGAGACACGGCCCAGACUCCUACGGGAGGCAGCAGUGGGGAAUCUUCCGCAAUGGACGAAAGUCUGACGGAGCAACGCCGCGUGAGUGAUGACGGCCUUCGGGUUGUAAAGCUCUGUUAAUCGGGACGAAAGGCCUUCUUGCGAAUAGUGAGAAGGAUUGACGGUACCAGAAUAGAAAGCCACGGCUAACUACGUG
rnacentral:rRNA from 1 species